rnacentral:rRNA from 1 species
GAUGAACGCUGGCGGCGUGCCUAAUACAUGCAAGUCGAGCGAACGGACGAGAAGCUUGCUUCUCUGAUGUUAGCGGCGGACGGGUGAGUAACACGUGGAUAACCUACCUAUAAGACUGGGAUAACUUCGGGAAACCGGAGCUAAUACCGGAUGAUAUUUUGAACCGCAUGGUUCAAAAGUGAAAGACGGUCUUGCUGUCACUUAUAGAUGGAUCCGCGCUGCAUUAGCUAGUUGGUAAGGUAACGGCUUACCAAGGCAACGAUGCAUAGCCGACCUGAGAGCGUGAUCGGCCACACUGGAACUGAGACACGGUCCAGACUCCUACGGGAGGCAGCAGUAGGGAAUCUUCCGCGAUGGGCGAAAGCCUGACGGAGCAACGCCGCGUGAGUGAUGAAGGUCUUCGGAUCGUAAAACUCUGUUAUUAGGGAAGAACAUAUGUGUAAGGAACUGUGCACAUCUUGACGGUACCUAAUCAGAAAGCCACGGCUAACUACGUG